CAGGUAACAAGCUGAAGACAUUUCCAACAACACAUCCUGUUAAUCCUCCAAUAGUGUGCAAAUCCAAGCCUCCGCUAUGCCAUACAACUCCUCAAAGAUGGACACAUCCAAUUACAGGAAGUUUUAGAUAACAAUCUACAAGUCACACAAGAACGGAGGCUACAACUACAGGGCAGAAAACCAAUGGCAGCAGAGAAACAUGAUCAAGGAAACUUACUUCAUGUGCAUCCCAACCAUAGCUUGCACAGUAAUAUCAUCUGUAUAUCAGCUGUCAUGCACUGACAACUACAACAUUGAACCAAAGACUUUGUGCUUACUUGAGUUUAAGAAAGGCAAUAAGGACCUCAGAUGAGAAGAUACAGAUCUUUACAGAGAUGGUUGCUAGACUUCCACAAAAUUAAUUGACCUCAUCUAAUUGAAAUUGAGAAAGACAGGUCUGGAAAGCAUUUUAAAAGAUGCAGUCCCUCCUGGGAAGGACUCAUUUAGCACACAUUUAUAGCUAGUAAUUGUCUAAAAUGUUUUAGUGACACCACAAUGUAGCCUCCUUCCCGAAGUAUUUUUUCCCCAGGAGAUGAUGUCAAGAAGAAUCUUUCCUAAAUCUCUCUAUACAAAAAACAAACAAACAAAAUCUCAUCACUUUAUUAUUAUUAAAAAAAAAAAAAAAAAGUGGUGGGGAAUGGAAAACAAGCUAUGCAUAGGCCUGUUUAAUAUCUUUUUAUCCUGCUUACUUACUGAUGUCAUUUAUAUCACUUAAGACAUCACUGCUACAUAAGAGUUCAAACUCACAACCACCAAGCUGUGUAUCUAUGUGAUAUGCACAAGUCUCUUAAAAUCAUAAUUAAUAAGCUUGCCUUUUA